UCAUCACUACGCUAGAUGCAUAUCAAUAAGCGGAGGAAAAGAAACUAACAAGGAUUCCCUUAGUAACGGCGAGUGAAGCGGGAAGAGCUCAAAUUUGAAAUCUUCAAGGGUUUACCUUUACGAAUUGUAGUUUAAAGAAGUGUUUUCUGUUGGAGUUUCAGUAAAAGUUCUUUGGAAUAGGACAUCAUAGAGGGUGAGAAUCCCGUAUUUGACCGUUACUUUCCAGCUGUGUGAUACACUUUCAAAGAGUCGGAUUGUUUGGGAAUGCAGUCCAAAAUGGGUGGUAAAUUUCAUCUAAAGCUAAAUAUUGGCGAGAGACCGAUAGCGAACAAGUACCGUGAGGGAAAGAUGAAAAGAACUUUGAAAAGAGAGUUAAACAGUACGUGAAAUUGUCAAAAGGGAAGCGUUUGACACCAGUGUUGUUUAGUUGAAAAUCAAUUCAAUAAUUUUUGAUUUUGAGUAGUAUUGACUUCAUCAGCUUGCUGCUUUCUUUUCAGAAAUUAUUGAAUGCACUUUUCAGUUAACAAGUCAACAUCAAUUUCUUUUGUUGUAAAAGGGUAAGAGGAAGGUGGCUUACGCUUCGGCGUAAGUGUUUAUAGCCUUUUACCAUCCGCAAUCGGAGAGAUUGAGGACAGCAGCGUAGACUCUUCGGGGUUAGAUACACUUGUGCUAAGCUAUAGCCUUGUAUAGACAACUUGUUGACUAUGCUCAGUCAUGUAGCUUACUCGCUUGUGCUAUUUUACCUACGCUUAGGAUGUUGACGAGACUGUCGAUCUC
rnacentral:rRNA from 1 species